rnacentral:rRNA from 1 species
CCAGUAGCGGCGAGCGAACGGGGAGGAGCCCAGAGCCUGAAUCAGCAUGUGUGUUAGUGGAAGCGUCUGGAAAGGCGCGCGAUACAGGGUGAGAGCCCCGUACACAAAAGCGCACGUGCUGUGAGCUCGAUGAGUAGGGCGGGACACGUGGUAUCCUGUCUGAAUAUGGGGGGACCAUCCUCCAAGGCUAAAUACUCCUGACUGACCGAUAGUGAACCAGUACCGUGAGGGAAAGGCGAAAAGAACCCCGGCGAGGGGAGUGAAACAGAACCUGAAACCGUGUACGUACAAGCAGUGGGAGCCCCACCACCAAAGCGUUUCGCUUUGCGUGGUGCGCAAAAUGCGUAACGACAGCACGAUUGCGGUUAACGGAGCGUAAGCGACGUUCAACACAAAAAUCAGGCAGUGGAGCGUUUUGGGGUGGGGUGACUGCGUACCUUUUGUAUAAUGGGUCAGCGACUUAUAUUCUGUAGCAAGGUUAACCGCAUAGGGGAGCCGGAGGGAAACCGAGUCUUAAU